rnacentral:rRNA from 1 species
UACGGGGGGAGCAAGCGUUGUUCGGAUUUACUGGGCGUAAAGGGCGCGUAGGCGGCCACCGCAAGUCGACUGUGAAAUCUCCGGGCUUAACUCGGAAAGGUCAGCCGAUACUGCGGGGCUAGAGUGCAGAAGGGGCAACUGGAAUUCUCGGUGUAGCGGUGAAAUGCGUAGAUAUCGGGAGGAACACCAGUGGCGAAGGCGACUACCUGGCCUGUUCUUGACGCUGAGGCGCGAAAGCUAGGGGAGCAAACGGG